GAAUGCUGACAUAAGUAACGAUAAAGCGGGUGAAAAGCCCGCUCGCCGGAAGACCAAGGGUUCCUGUCCAACGUUAAUCGGGGCAGGGUGAGUCGACCCCUAAGGCGAGGCCGAAAGGCGUAGUCGAUGGGAAACGGGUUAAUAUUCCCGUACUUGGUGUUACUGCGAAGGGGGGACGGAGAAGGCUAUGUUGGCCGGGCGACGGUUGUCCCGGUUUAAGCGUGUAGGUGUGUGUUCCAGGUAAAUCCGGUUCACUUUAACACUGAGGCGUGACGACGAGGCACUACGGUGCUGAAGCAACAAAUGC
rnacentral:rRNA from 1 species